rnacentral:lncRNA from 1 species
GGGGCUGAAGCUUGCUCACUACAGGAGGGAGGGAGGGAGAGAAGGAGGGGCAGGCCCAGGCUGAGCGUGGCCUGGGGCCAAGGGCGUCUAGAGCGGAGGGUGAUGGGAGCUGCCUGUGCCUUAGGGAACACUUUUUAGGCGUUUGUUUUGUACUAUCGCUGGAACCCACCGCUGCAACACCCCCAAUUUCACAGCCAGCGUGAGUCAGCUGGACCGGCUGCGGGACCGCUAAGGGAAGGACAGGUGAGCGCCAGGUCCAGCUGGCCGCUGGGUGGAGCUGCGUGAGCCAUACUCCACGGCGUCCUGGCCACUAUACAGGUAACUCCCUUCUUGGGCCUCCCUCAAAAUCCCUCGGGCCUUGUCGCCCAGACCACCAUGUUUCCCCCAGGGCCAUUUCGGUCCUGCCGGGAGCAUACUUGGGAUCUGGAUGCUUUUGUCCCCUUCCCGCGGGUGCCCACGCUCGGCCCCCAGCCAUUCGCUUCUUGCACAUAGUGCUCGAAAACCUGGGCGAUCGAGCAGGCCUUUGGGACUGGGGGACGCCCACUUGUGCCCAGUGUCGUUGUAGCCUAUUCCCUGGUAGUAGCAGUGACUCGGGGUCCAAAUCGGCGCGUCCCUGGGGUGUGUCUCUCCUCACAGGAUUUCGCACCCCCAGCCCUACUUCUCCCCGCUUUGUGGAUCCCCGAGAUGGCGUUGGCGGAAGGGAAACCGCGGGUGGGGAUGAUUCGGUUUUUGAGUCGGCUUUCUGCACCAAGCUUACAGGUUAAACAACAACCCUUUUAGCUGGCUUCAGCAUACUGAGCUCUACCGCCUGGGGGUGGGGGAGGCGGAUUUGUACUUUAUGCCCAAGAAAUUUCCACUUCACCUCAAAUCUGUGGGGUUUAACUAGACUUACACCAACCCACAAAGGUCCUUGGUGCCCCUAUUCUAGUCAGUCCAUUUCCCUACCCACCCCCUUGCACUAUUUUGAUGAUCAUCAUCUUGGCUUAGUUUUGCCAGUCACAACGUCAUAAAACGGGCUUUCCAGUAAGUACUUUUUUGUGUCUCAUUUACAUUACUUUCAAAAUGAAUAUCAUUUUGGUGUCUCUUGGUGUUUCUGUUGCUGUAGGCCUGCACAGUGAAAUGGAACCACUGGUCAUUGUGGCAAGUUGGAAAUGAGAUGUGCUUUAAUAAUGUGCAUGUUUUCCCCCCAAGGUUUAGUACAAAGCUGGUGACAUGUAGCUCACAAGUAAAUUGUUGCAUCCAUUACAGCGUUUCUCUUUUUUUUAAGACAGGGUUUUAUGUAGCUCAAGCUGGCCUCAACCUCAUCCUCCAGCCUACAUACCCCACAUACUUGGAUUGCAGGCCUGCACCAGCACUCUAUGUCAAUGAUUACAGUUUUUUCUCAUUGGGUUAAAAAAAUAUUUUAAGAUCUCUGGGAGGUGACUCCUGGCACUCCUAGUCACGAGUCUGAGGCAGGAGGACAGUGAGAUGGAGACUAGCCUGGACUACAAAGUGAGAUUCCAUCAUCUCAGAAAAAAUCUAGUAACAACAUUAUUAUUAUUAAUGGAUGGGGUGUAGCUGAGGCAGUAGUGUGCUUGUCUAUAGUUUGUAGGAAAUCCUGGGUUUGAUCUCAGCGUUCUGUAAAACCAGGGAUGGUGGUCAUCCAUGGCUACAUUUUGAGUUCAAGGCCAGACUAGUCUACCAAAAAAGGAAAAGAUAUAUUUAUUGUUAAUGAAAUCUCUUUGUUCAUCUUUUUUCCCCCCAGUCAGGGUUUCUCUGUGUAGCUUUGAAGCCUGUCCUGGAACUCACUCUGUAGCCCAGGCUGCCCUCGAACUCAGAGAGAUUCACCUGACUCUGCCUCCUGGGAGCUGGGAUUAAAAGUGUGCACCCCCAGUGCCUGGCUCCUAUUACUUUAUUUUAAUUAAAAUAUUUAUUACAUUUAUAUAUAUGUACAUAUGUGUGUGUGUGUGUGUGUGUGUGUGUGUGUAUGUGUUUGUGUAUUUGUAUUUGUGUGGGCAAAUGUGGAUAUUCUUCCUACAGUCUUAAAUUUUUUCCCAAACUUAUUUGCUUAGGAAGGGUAGAAAGGAUUAGGAUGGGCAUGUAACUCAGUGAUAGGACACUUGCCUAGCAUCCAUGAAGCCCUGAGUUCAGUCACCAGCACUGAAUAAAACCAUACAAACCAGGUGUGGGACUACUGAA